GAUGAACGCUGGCGGCGUGCUUAACACAUGUAAGUCGAACGGAAAGGCUCCUGCUUGCAGGGGUACUCGAGUGGCGAACGGGUGAGUAACACGUGGGUGAUCUGCCCUGCACUUCGGGAUAAGCCUGGGAAACUGGGUCUAAUACCGGAUAGGACGAUGGUUUGGAUGCCAUUGUGGAAAGUUUUUCGGUGUGGGAUGAGCUCGCGGCCUAUCAGCUUGUUGGUGGGGUAAUGGCCUACCAAGGCGUCGACGGGUAGCCGGCCUGAGAGGGUGUACGGCCACAUUGGGACUGAGAUACGGCCCAGACUCCUACGGGAGGCAGCAGUGGGGAAUAUUGCACAAUGGGCGCAAGCCUGAUGCAGCGACGCCGCGUGGGGGAUGACGGCCUUCGGGUUGUAAACUCCUUUCGCUAGGGACGAAGCGCAAGUGACGGUACCUGGAGAAGAAGCACCGGCUAACUACGUG
rnacentral:rRNA from 1 species